CACUAUUGCUGGUCUUUUACUAUUAAUACCAUUUUCUCAAUUCCAACAGAUCGACUUGUAACUCUUUUGGCUAAAGAGAGAAGCCAUUCACUGACUUACAUUGGAUGCAUAAAGAAAGGACCUGUGAUAACUGACUCUAAACUGAAGUGGUAUGAGAAAUCAGGACAUCUGAUUGGUAGUGAAUACGUCUUGCAUGCUUAUGGUCCUAUCUAUGUUCUUUCUGUAGAGGUGGUAGCAUCACUGGCAAUUGCUAGAAAUAACAGAUUGAUAAUGUUGGCAUGGAUACACUGAUGUUUUUGGGCCAGAUUGAUGAUGUUUGCAUGGGCGCAAUUUACAUUAUAUUUUUUGUUUAUGGAAAACAUGUACAGCUGAUAUGUUUUGUUAUUAAGAUUUUUUUUUUUUUUAGUUUGAAUUGUAAUUGUUGGUUCAGAUAGUAUAUGUAUUUGUUAGAUUAUACUAUGUUUAUGGAUUCUUAUUUUCUUUGAUAUGUACCGUUAAUAGUUAAGUUGUGUAUAUGGUUGAAAAUUGAAUGCUACA